rnacentral:rRNA from 1 species
UACAGAGGUCCCAAGCGUUGUUCGGAUUCACUGGGCGUAAAGGGUGCGUAGGUGGUUAGGUAAGUCCGAUGUGAAAUCUCCAGGCUCAACCUGGAAAUGGCAUUGGAUACUAUCUAGCUUGAGGAGUGGAGGGGGGGGACUGGAAUUCUCGGUGUAGCAGUGAAAAUGCGUAGAUAUCGAGAGGGAAACACCCAGUGGCGAAAGGCGAGUCCCCCUGGACACUUCCCUG